CGCUCGCCCCCGAUCCGGCAGAGGGCUGCAGCGGCGGCGGCGGCGGCGGCGGCAAUGGUGGCGGGGGCGGCGGCGGC
rnacentral:miRNA from 1 species